UUCGGAAAAGCCAAGCCAGGCUGCUGCGCAGGCACUGCGGCCCCGUCGCUGCUCUUUGCCGCCGCCGCCCCCUCGAGAGGGGCAGGAAGGGACUCUGAAGCCGGGACUGGGCGGUGUUUGAAGCACCUGAAACCGCAUAUUUGUCACAGCGGAAGGAGGGGGGGGGAGGCACUGAGACUUACCGAGACCUUCUCCGCCUCGGAAAAGUGAAGCGGCGGGGAGGGAAAGGGGGAAAAGACCCCCCAGCCCCGCUCCUGUGGCGUCCUCUCGCCGUGCCCCUCUGUCCCCGCCGACAACGGUUGGCCUUUUCCUCCUCGGCUUCUUUUUCUUGACUGUCGAGAAAACUUGAUUUGGAUUUAAAACCUCGCAGCGUGGUGAAAGCGCCCGGUGCAGAUGGAGGGAAUCUGGACAGCCGAAGUGUAAGAAUGUUUGUUUUGAAAGUGCCC